rnacentral:rRNA from 1 species
GACGAACGCUGGCGGCGUGCUUAACACAUGCAAGUCGAACGGUGAAGCUCCAGCUUGCUGGAGUGGAUCAGUGGCGAACGGGUGAGUAACACGUGAGCAACCUGCCCCUGACUCUGGAAUAAGAGCUGGAAACGGCGUCUAAUACUGGAUACGAGAAGGGUCCGCAUGGGCACUUUCUGGAAAGUUUUUCGGUUGGGGAUGGGCUCGCGGCCUAUCAGCUUGUUGGUGAGGUAAUGGCUCACCAAGGCGACGACUGGUAGCCGGCCUGAGAGGGCGACCGGCCACACUGGGACUGAGACACGGCCCAGACUCCUACGGGAGACAGCAGUGGGGAAUAUUGCACAGUGGGCGAAAGCCUGAUGCGGCGGCGCCACGUGAGGGAUGACGGCCUGCGGGUUGUAAACCUCUUUCAGCAGGGAAGAAGCUAAAGUGACGGUACCUGCAGAAGAAGCACCGGCUAACUACGUG